rnacentral:rRNA from 1 species
UACAGAGACGGCAAGCGUUGUUCGGAUUCAUUGGGCGUAAAGGGUGCGCAGGCGGCUCGUUAAGUCGGAUGUGAAAUCUCACAGCCUAACUGUGAUAGGUCAUUCGAAACUAGCGGGCUUGAGGACUGGAGAGGAGACUGGAAUGGUCGGUGUAGCGGUGAAAUGCGUAGAGAUCGACCAGAACACCGGUGGCGAAGGCGAGUCUCUGGACAGUUCCUGACGCUCAGGCACGAAAGCCAGGGGAGCAAACGGG